CCUACGGGAGGCAGCAGUGGAGAAUAUUUCACAAUGGAGGCAAGCCUGAUCCAGCGACGCCGCGUGGAGGAAUGAGGCUCUACGGAUUGUAAACUCCUGUCAUGUGGGAGCAAAUUAAAAAGCUCGUAUCACACGAGGAAGAGCCGGCUAACUAUGUGCCACCAGCCGCGGUCAUACAGAGGUCUCAAGCGUUGUUCGGAAUGACUGGGCGUAAAGUGUGCGUAGGCGGUUUCGUAAGUCGUGUGUGAAAGGCGGGGGCUCAACCGGCGGACUGCACAUGAUACUGUGAGGCUAGAGUAAUGGAGGGGUAAGCGGAAUGCUCGGUGUAGCAGUGAAAUGCGUAGAUAUCGAGAGGAACACUCGUGGCGAAGGCGGGUUCCUGGACAGUAACUGACGCUGAGGCACGAAGGCGAGGGGAGCGAAAAGGAUUAGAUACCCGUGUAGUC
rnacentral:rRNA from 1 species